rnacentral:lncRNA from 1 species
AGGCGCAAGAAAUCCAAAAAUGAAUGAAGGAGAAAGAAAAACGAUGGUGAGGAAGAGGAGAGAACGUGAAAAGAAUAAUGAGGGAAAAGAAACAAAAUAAAAUAAAUAAAUAUUAAAAUUUCAACAAAAAAAGCUAAAUAAAAAAUAAUUCCCUCAUAGCACACCUGAGGACUCGAACUUGGGACCUUAGGCUAAAGCAACACACAACCAACCACCAG